rnacentral:tRNA from 1 species
GGAGGGUUGGCAGAGCGGUCGAUUGCACCGGCUUGGAAAGUCGGAGGGCCUUCACGGGUCCCAUCGGUUCGAAUCCGGUACCCUCCUCCA